UCAUGCAAAUUAGCUUUCUCGAAAGAUAAGGUGCAGCGUGUCCUUGCUGAAGGGCUGAGAGGGACAAAGCCAUUGACAGGGAUGAAGCAGAAGCUGCUGGGAUUGUGGGGGAAAAAGGUGUAGCACCAGCAGAAGAUCAUAGCAUCUGCAGAUUCUUCUAUGACCUAUUCAUACAGGUCCAGCACAAAGGUCCCGGAUGAGAAGAUGCAGGCGAAAUGGCAGCUUCCUCUCUGAAACCGCAACUGUCUCCUGCUGAUGGUCUAUUUUGACUGAGAAGUGAUGAAAAGAAACUGGCUGAACAAUCCCCACAUUCUGGGUACCUCGAGGAUCGAGGAGUCCCGGGAAAAAGUGGCAGCUGGAGUGCAUGCAGGCGCGGGUGGCGGAGCCAGGUACCUGCAUGUGACAGCACCGCAGCGAGCCGGCUGAGUGUCUCGUUUUCCCAGAGGACUGUGUGCUGAGUGAUGUCGCAGUGUAGCUCAGGAAGGCUAACGUAGAGGAGAACUCUUCAUGUGAGAGGCGACUUGGCAGGGCAGCACCUUGGAGAUUAACACUGAAGCAUGUUCCAUGAAAAGACAAAGUCUUGGAGCCAUUGGGGUGGAUUACUGUCAGUAUGGAGCUGCAGAAAGGUAGAGGGAGGCAGUAAUUCCUAUACAAAGGUAGACAAAUACAUAGUCUGUGACUAAAAACUUUCCCUGCUGAGAUCCAUUGUCUCAGAGUUUCUCUGUCUUUUGAGGGUCCCUGUCACCACUGAUAAAGACCUCAGCUCCAGCCAAAGCCAAAGUCUAGGUGAUGCAGAAGCGUAAUGGGGUAGCGAGCUAAGGCUAUAGCGCUUGGUGAUGGGACUUAGAUGGUUGCUUGCUGGAGUGGGAGCUCCGUGUCUCGGGCGACCCAUCGGAGGAUCGCGAAGCGGAGUCUGGGGGUUGCCCGGCAUGGCCGGCGGAAAAAAGGCUGCUCGAAGAGGGGCUCCUUCGGAUGGGCGGACGCGGCACCUUUUUCCUGCCACUCAGUGUACCACAAGAGGGGAGUCCAGUCGGGCAAUGAACGCAAGCAUCGCGUUAAAGGAUGUGCGGGGAACCCUCUACAACUCAAAACUUUGGUGCCUGUGUUCGUUUCCCUGAAGGGCAGAGAUAGGACGCCAAAUAUAGCGACGAUUUUCAUCAAGGUAGUUUUCAUUUGCUAUUUUAAAAAACGCUGUUUUUCUUUUUUUGUCUCUCAGUACUUAAUGGAUUUGUCGACUUCGGAGACUGUUCGAUAUUGUGUAAUAUAAUACAUAUUGUAUUGUAUUAAAACGGUAGACCUUUUAGACCUAAUAAAUAAUUAGGAUUUCACGUGGUUUGAUAAGAAAAUGUGAAAAUAAACGCAAAUCAUUAAAAAAUGGAGCAGAGCAACACAUCACAUGUUAUUAUAUCAGCGCCUCUGGCAAUAUAACAAACACCGCUAUAUUAAAGCGCCAUAUUAGGCCUUCGACCAUUUAAAAUUAAUUUUCAAUUCAUUUCAAAUAAUUUAAUUUUAUAAAGAUAUUUCAAUGUGUUACUUAUAUACCUAAUAUAUUUAGCUUUAAGGAGUGUCAAGCCUUUUCCAAUGAAUGAUUUCUGUCUAACCGCUACAUCCAUUAAAAACAAGCUAAAGACCGAAGCAAGACUCAUUUUCAUAUUAGCAUUAGCCUGUAUUUAUUCAUAACUAACAUCUUCAAUAAUAAUAUUCUAUUAGAACACCUUUUCACUAACGUAUCUGUAUAUAAAUAUGCCUAUAUGUAUUAUCUUAAAAUUUAAUGGCGAUAAGGUCAUCCCGUUUUGCUGCCCGUUUAAAAAAGAUAAUGAGGUAAAACAACAACAAUAAUAAAUAGCAUUUAAAAAGUGAAGGGUAUUACAAUGUUUAGCUGAACUGCAGACGUAGAUUAGCAGAGUUCCCUGCCAGGCCUGGGAAGCUGCUAUUACACUGCAUCUCAAGGGAGAAGGGCUCGCAUUAACCGCUAAAUGAAUAUUUGACUAGGGCUCAUUCCCAAGUAUUAUUUCUACAAACGUGUCCCUGCUGGACUUUCAAAGGGUCAGGGAGCAGUGGUUCAAUUAAUUAUUUAUACAACUAGUGGACCGGGUUGUAAUAGCGGAACAUGUUUCUUGAACUAGUAACUUUAAUGAUCGAAUGGUGCAUAUAUUUUAUAGACUUUGAUGCGCUUCAUCCUAUUAGUACUAUUUAUAAAAAAUGCUUACUUGCAUACGUUUAGAGUAUCAUAUUUAUUUUCUUUCAUUUAGAAGAAAAAUAGAUUGAACAUGUUUAAAUUAACUAUAGUAUAUGAAAACUAUACAGCUCAGCCUCACAUUUAUUUUUUUAACGCUGAUAUUUUCGUAAAUAAUUAAAGUGUGAGUAUUAAUAUGCUAGACGCCGGGGAAACAUUUUUUUAUUAUGUUUGUAUAUGUUUUAAUUAAUUUUAUGCAUAAUGGCGAGUGGGAGUAUUUAUUACAGGUAUUGGAACUUUCUUUAAAACAUAUAAAGCGGUCUAAAAUUACAACUAAACUUCUGCAGUCUUCAGCUUUAUAGGAAGUGUACUGGACCCCCACUGAGGUUUUGUGACUUGCAAAGUCGUCCGAGAAGACAUGGCGUUGCCCCCGGCGCACAUACAAGCCUGUCCUGCAGUAGCGACGCGAUCCUCAUUCAUAGUCAUUACGAGAAGAAACUGAAAAUGCAUUGUCAGGUUUGCGUUCAGCCCGUUAGAUGUGUGUUUCUGCUCUCGGUACACUGCUCAGAUGUUACUGUAAAUAAUGGAAAUGUGUACAUCAGUGACAUUUGUUUGAAUAAUCGUAGUUUUGCACUGUGUACUCAAGUCAUAAACCUGCGUUUUUGUGUUUUCUGUAUGUUGCACCAGAAAUACUGAAUUUUGUAAUUCGAUAUAUCAUUCUCUAUGCAACAGGAUCAGGAUAAAACUGAGAAGACCAGGAGACUUCAGGAAAGUGAAAAGUGUAUUGCGACAGCACACAUUGGAAGGGUGGUGACAUUUUAAGACUAAUAUGAGCAGCAACAGGUGGUACUGGGAGUGCCAUGUGCAGCUGGGAUGGCACAGAUCCUGACGCAGUGCAGGCCUGUGACAGAGCUGUGUGGGAACAGCACCAGCAGAUGUCAUGGUAGCAUGCAAAGAGGCCCCCAACUCCUAGACCGGCUGCUCCUCUUCGUACACCUGGACUGGGGUGCUGCCCCCCCGGGGACUCCCAUGAUGCACCGGUGGGCCGAAACCAGGGUCGCAAGUCGAAUGUCGCCAGGCUUCCCCACCUGACGGAAACCCAUCGUCUGUGCUCCACUCUGCCGGAAAUGAGAGCAUUGCCCUUAGGAGCAGCCUGUGCAUGGCGAUCGCUGCAUGGUAUGUGCUGUUUCCUUCAUGACAUUUUUUUUUUGUUGAUGGAGGAUGCCUACAGCCCACACUGUACAUGCCAUUUAUUUCCCAUUAUCCUUUUGUUUUGCUCUGCAGUUGGAAAGUAUGCAUCUGCCCACUGCUGCCUCUCAAUGUUAGCAAUUUCUUUCUUAACCUGGGCUGACACAGUGCUCUAGACUUUUCUUGCUAGAAAUUUCUGUGAGUAUCAUCACCAGGGUGCCUGGUGAAUACGCACAGCGUCAGACCUGUGGCCUGCUAAAAAGGACACAACUGGAGGACCUGCACAUUUCUCAUGCAGGGACGGUGGCUACAUGUUUAGCCCCUGAAUCCCGCCCCUUCAGUCUCCCCACCACCAAUACCACUGACAGUCACAGAUCAGGGGUCAUUCAGAGUGGCCCGGCCAGCUCAUUUGAACUGAUGCGUGAUUCUCAGCCAUGCAGAACUUAUGCAAAUCUAUACUGUCGAGGUUAUUAUUCACAUUCAAAGACUUGAAUUGUUUGCUGUUGAGUACUGUUAAAUUAAAAAGGUGUUUAGCACAUUGUCUCAGGUGGGCUUUGUUCAAAUACUUGUUGUUGUCAAUGUAAAAUAUGCUUUUCAUUGUAUUCUCUUGUUGCAGAGAAGCACGAGCACCCACACCUAUUGGCCAAGUUCUAGGACCUUUCAUGCUGACUAAGCAUCUUCACACAUGAAUUUGAAUAAUUUAUAUGACCAGAUGAGACAUCCACUUUUAAAAGUUAAUAUUUAUAAUAAACAAUUACAAAGAACUUGAUGUAUCUUUUCAUUUAUUUGUGGGAUAAUAGGUGGAUAUUUUAUUUUAUGGUGUUUAUUGUGUGGUGCCACUGUGUUUACACAGUGAUACACUAUAUCAUUGCCUUUCCAUUCCAUCCAUCCAGCCAUCCAAAUGCUUAUUGUGUAUAUGGUAGUUUAUGGUACACGCUCGAUUGAAUGCCAGUCAUAUUUUGGAUUCUAAGGAAUAUUUAAAUUAUUUUUAAAUGUAUGGUCUAAAGAUAAGAAAUGGGACUAAGUGACCGUCCAUCCAUCUUCUAAUUGCUUUGGGAGUUUCAUUAGUCUACCUUGCGAAAUAGCUGGAGUUCAGAUAUGCUAUGGUCCACCAUGGCUCCAGCAAACAUUCCUUUAUUCAUCCUAAGAGUCAUUUUUAAAGGCCUAACCCAAUUUGAGUCUUUCAUAAGGUCUGUUAUAUCACAAUUUUUAUAGAAUUCAAAGUUGGUGAGCAACCCAUGUUUCAAUGCCUCAAUGUGCCAAAGAACACAACUAGCGAUGGCAUGGUCGGCCUCUGAAGGGGCGACUUUGUCAGCUCCGCCGGGCUCAACAACAUCCCUUUAUGCUGCCCUUACUGUGAAGAAUAAGGGUGGUUGGGGGCUUGUCAGUGGCUCAGUCAGAUCUGUGCUGAACUUGGAGAGGAGUCAUGUAAUUGUGACAUACUGUAAAACAGCAGCUCUCAUUCAGGGCUGACCUGUCCCAAGCAAAUGCCCUGGGCCAGCUGCAGCGUGGAGCCCCAGACAAGGCACUGCUUUCUUUGAGGCCCAGACUUUCUAACUUGCCAAUGACCAGCCUGCCUCUGGAAUACUUUGUGAUUAUACAGUCACCCUCUUGAAUUGCAGAAGAUCUACAGACCAUGCCUCUUUAUUAUUAGAUUAUAUGUAAUGCCAUCAUUUAAAAGCAAUGCAUCGGCUAUGGGAUGGCUCUGUGUUUGUUUACCUCAUCAUACCCAUAGAUAUUCCUCAAAAUAUGUUACUGGGAUUUUUACCUUUGAAUUGCUAAUUGUAUUGAAUUGUCAGAGUAAUAAAAAUCAAUGUAAAAAUAAAGUGUUUUUUUCGCCUAGAUGACAGGAAGAAGACAGUGAAGAAAAAAUGAUUUAAGAUCAUCUGCAUAUUUUUGUCAUUAAAUGGAGUUUACAAAUCA